rnacentral:rRNA from 1 species
CCUACGGGGGGCAGCAGUGAGGAAUAUUGGUCAAUGGGCGCGAGCCUGAACCAGCCAAGUCGCGUGAGGGAAGACGGUCCUAUGGAUUGUAAACCUCUUUUAUAAAGGAAUAAAACGAGGCACGUGUGCCUCUUUGCAUGUACUUUAUGAAUAAGGAUCGGCUAACUCCGUGCCAGCAGCCGCGGUAAUACGGAGGAUCCGAGCGUUAUCCGGAUUUAUUGGGUUUAAAGGGAGCGUAGAUGGGUUGUUAAGUCAGUUGUGAAAGUUUGCGGCUCAACCGUAAAAUUGCAAUUGAUACUGGCAGUCUUGAGUACAGUUGAGGUAGGCGGAAUUCGUGGUGUAGCAGUGAAAUGCUUAGAUAUCACGAAGAACCCCGAUUGCGAAGGCAGCUUACUAAACUGUGACUGACAUUGAUGCUCGAAAGUGUGGGUAUCAAACAGGAUUAGAUACCCUAGUAGUC